GCUAUGGUAUAACUUUAGUGGCAGACGGGUGAGUAAUGUAUAGGAAUCUACCUAGUAGUACGGAAUAAUUGUUGGAAACGACAACUAAUACCGUAUACGCCCUACGGGGGAAAAAUUUAUUGCUAUUAGAUGAGCCUAUAUUAGAUUAGCUAGUUGGUGGGGUAAUAGCCUACCAAGGUAAUGAUCUAUAGCUGAUCUGAGAGGAUGAUCAGCCACACUGGAACUGAGAUACGGUCCAGACUCCUACGGGAGGCAGCAGUGGGGAAUAUUGGACAAUGGGCGAAAGCCUGAUCCAGCCAUGCCGCAGAGUGAAGAAGGCCUUUGGGUUGUAAAGCUCUUUUAGUGAGGAAGAUAAUGACGGUACUCACAGAAGAAGUCCUGGCUAACUCCGUGCCAGCAGCCGCGGUAAUACGGAGAGGGCUAGCGUUAUUCGGAAUUAUUGGGCGUAAAGGGCGCGUAGGCUGGUUAAUAAGUUAAAAGUGAAAUCCCGAGGCUUAACCUUGGAAUUGCUUUUAAAACUAUUAAUCUAGAGAUUGAAAGAGGAUAGGGGAAUUCCUGAUGUAGAGGUAAAAUUCGUAAAUAUUAGGAGGAACACCAGUGGCGAAGGCGUCUAUCUGGUUCAAAUCUGACGCUGAAGCGCGAAGGCGUGGGGAGCAAACAGGAUUAGAUACCCUGGUAGUCCACGCUGUAAACGAUGAAUGUUAAAUAUGGGGAGUUUACUUUCUGUAUUACAGCUAACGCGUUAAACAUUCCGCCUGGGGACUACGGUCGCAAGAUUAAAACUCAAAGGAAUUGACGGGGACCCGCACAAGCGGUGGAGCAUGUGGUUUAAUUCGAUGCAACGCGAAAAACCUUACCACUUCUUGACAUGAAAAUCAUACCCUAUACA
rnacentral:rRNA from 1 species